UCAAUAAACUGUCAUAGCUGUCAAGGUAAUUGUAACCUCCAACCCGUGGCUGUAAUUUCAAACUGCUAUCUUUACAAAACAAUAAUUUCCUGAAACGUGCUUAUAAUCGAGGUGGAAACUACUCUUGAGUAAUUUAACAACCAUGAGUGCUUGUAACGUAGAAGUAAUAAAACAAGUGGGGAAAUACUACAAUGUAUCUGUGGGGACCGUAUGUUUUAAUACCGAUAAGGUACUCACAACGGUAAUUAAUAAACAAAGCAUAGAAGGGUUUGCAACCAUUGUUUUGAAGUUAGCUUCUCUUAGCGGGAUUCAGCUGAGCCAGGAGGAGAGGCUGCUUAGUUAUCAGUGGCUGGAACACAUUGCUAUGUAUGCUAACCAGGCUGCAGCCAACCCUGUGUUUGCACUGGGAUUCUUAAAGGACAUAAACAAGGCAUUAGAGAAGACUACUUACCUAACUGGACACAAAUUGAAUGUUACUGAUGUAGCGGCAUAUUAUGUCUUAUACCCAUUGAUAGAGCGGCUAUCUGUGUCAGAACGUGAAUCAUUUAUGCAUGUAUGCCGGUGGAUAAAGCACAUGCAGGCGCAACCAAAAAUUUGUACCCGUCAACCUCUCCCAUUAAACAUUCUGAAUCUCACAAUAUUAGCACCAGCAGUACAUUAAUUACGAAUAAUUUAACUUUUAUGAGCAUUUCAAUACCAAAACAAUUAAGUUUUUAAUUAUUGAACAGUUAUUGCCAACAUAAAAAAUUAAGACUGUAAAAGUAUUAAUAAUUGGGAGACCUUUCAUAAUGAUUGUGUUCAAUAAGUUGGAAAUAUUAAUUAUUUAUAUUGCUAGUUACUGUGUCUUGGAUAGUAAUGCAGCACCGAUAACUUUGUUGCCUCCGUUUCCCGAACAAAUAUUGCCACAUCAAUUGAAAAACAUAAAUUUGGAUAAGGCUUUUUUAUACCAUCCCCAGCCGUUCUCUUUUCCAGGCUAUCCAGUAGUGGUCUAUUUGUGAGCGGCGAUAUGCCUAUGCUACCUGUGUUACCUCCUUAAAUAAAAUUUAAGUAUUAUUUUUUUAA